rnacentral:rRNA from 1 species
CAGUCGUGAGGAAGGUAGUGUAGUUAAUAGCUGCAUUAUUUGACGUUAGCGACAGAAGAAGCACCGGCUAACUCCGUGCCAGCAGCCGCGGUAAUACGGAGGGUGCGAGCGUUAAUCGGAAUUACUGGGCGUAAAGCGCAUGCAGGUGGUUUGUUAAGUCAGAUGUGAAAGACCCGGGGCGUCAACCUCGGAAUUGCAUUUGUAAACUAGGCAGACUAGAGUACUGUAGAGGGGGGUAGGAAUUUCAGGUGUAGCGGUGAAAUGCGUAGAGAUCUGAAGGAAUACCGGUGGCGAAGGCGGCCCCCUCGGACAGAUACUGACACUCAGAUGCGAAAGCGUGGGGAGCAAACAGGAUUAGAUACCCUGGUAG